UUAAUUUGCAACCCAGUUACUAUGAGUGGUCGUGUCAGACGGAUGCUUCGGGCGAGCAUUUUCGCGUAAACUAAUUGAUUUCUUCUAAUUAAAUUAUAGUGAAUCAUUGUGUAAGCAAUGCAAGUGUGAUGUGAGCCAUGCGAAUUAAUAUUGUGCAAAUAUAUAACGGAAAGACUUCAAAAUAGGGGAUGUAACAGAAAAAUAAAAAUGGCUUCAGGAGAUACUGAUCACAUAGAAGUGAUGGACUCUUCGGCUAGUAAAAAGUCUGAUAACGCAACUGGACCUUCGGGCGCGGAAGAAGAUGAUCGAGACAAGAGCUCAAUCGCUGAGAAAAAUGCACCGUACGAUCCUGCUGUGGGUCCCUCAGGGGCGAUCAGCAAGGUCCACAAGUCGGACAGAAAGAUCGGACAUCGUCGCGUUGGCGAGGGUGGCGAGAUCACCUACAAGAAGAUCCAGUCUUCCCAAAUUAUGGGAUCUAUACAGCUUGGAAUCCAGCAUGCUAUCGGCGGGCUAGCUUCCAAACCUGAGCGAGAUCUCCUCAUGCAGGACUUCAUGACAGUGGAGACCACGAACUUCCCUCACGAAGGCUCGAACCAUACGCCUGCUCAUCAUUACUCCGAGUUUAAGUUCAAGACCUACGCUCCAAUAGCCUUCAGAUACUUUCGGGACCUGUUCGGCAUCCAACCUGACGAUUUCUUAAUGUCGAUGUGCAGUGCCCCGCUGCGCGAGCUCAGCAACCCUGGAGCGUCCGGCAGCAUCUUCUACUUAACCAAUGAUGAUGAGUUCAUCAUCAAGACAGUUCAGCAUAAGGAGGGAGAGUUUCUUCAGAAACUACUGCCUGGAUACUACUUGAAUUUGGAUCAGAACCCACGCACACUGCUGCCAAAAUUCUUCGGCUUAUAUUGUUACCAGUGCAACAGUAAGAACGUUCGACUAGUGGCGAUGAACAACUUGCUCCCGUCCUCCAUCAAACUGCACCAGAAGUAUGAUUUGAAAGGAUCCACUUAUAAACGGAAGGCGAACAAAAGCGAACGUCAGAAGACGUCGCCGACAUAUAAGGAUCUGGAUUUCAUGGAACAUCACACCGAAGGUCUUUUCCUUGAAGCGGACACGUACAACGCACUCAUCAAGACUAUGCAACGGGAUUGCAGAGUACUGGAGAGUUUUAAGAUCAUGGAUUACUCCCUCCUAGUCGGCAUACACAACCUGGACGAAGCUCAAAGGGAGAAGACGGAAGCGAGGAAACGCACUGACUCCGGCCAGAGUGACGGCGAUGAUGCCGAGGGAGAACCACGGAAAGGACUUAAUAGGACGAGAUCUGAACAGGGCAAGGAGGAUUUCACCGCACAAGUGAAACGAACGCAGUCAAUAAACAGACAGCGGCUGGUGGCUCACUCCACCGCGAUGGAGAGCAUACAGGCUGAAAGCGAGCCUAUUGAUGAAGAGGAAGAUGUGCCUCCUGGCGGCAUUCCGGCUCGGAACGCGCGCGGCGAGCGACUCCUCUUGUUCCUGGGUAUCAUCGACAUCCUGCAGUCCUACAGGCUGCGCAAGAAACUCGAACACACGUGGAAGAGCAUGAUACAUGACGGGGACACCGUUUCAGUACAUAGACCGAGUUUCUACGCGCAGAGGUUUUUAGAUUUCAUGGCUAAAACCGUCUUCAAGAAAAUACCUUCGUUGGACCUUCCUGAGAUCAAGGGGAAUCAUCGCAAAUUCCGAACGCUAGUCACCUCCUAUAUAGCCCUGAAGCACUCGCCUUCGAAACGGAAGAGCAUCGCCAAACCGGCUAGGCCACAAGAAGACAUUGACACGCCAGGAGCCGGAUCCAGUGGGGUCGCCAGCGUGAAAGCAGUUUCUUUGUCGGAUGUGACAGCACAUAUAACCCCGAUAUCGGUGACGUCACCGGUGUCCACAGCCGCUAAAGUCACAAUGUCGUCGGCUAAGACGACGACGGCCGCGUCAGAGCCCGACAUCGCGUUCCCAGCUGUGUUGAAAGGCUCGCAAAAGCAGAGAGUCCCACCCCCAGUCCCUCCAAGAGGGUCACCCAAAGCUAAGCGAGGAGGCGCCGCCUCCCAAGCGUCUAGCAUCGACACGAAAGGCGGUGCGCCAUUGUCGUGUUGUUCAACACCGCCACCCCCCUUCGAAGAGGCCCCUCCUCCGAGAACCAGUCGCACUAACUCCUCGUCUACAACGUCAUCAAGUGCGUCAGGCAGACGCCGUGGAGCGUCCAGUGCUGCUAGUGUGAUGACCACUUCAUCUGCGUCUUCUCUGGCUUUGACGCCCGCGGCUCUGAGUAGCGCGCGCAGUAAUGAUGCCAGUGUGUGUUGGACCCCGCCGGCGUCUGUGGAAGGCUCCACCCCGACAUGGACUGAGGGCACGCCCAGUUUCACCGAGUCUAGUAGUAGUGAACAAGGCUACCCGAUAACACCAGCCCGUGGCGCCACACCGUGUGACAGUCGCGACGGGCGUCGCUCCCCGCGCCCCCCACCGCCGCCUGCGCGCGCAAUCCCCCCCACCACCAUCAAUUGUCUUACCAGCGAAGUGUUGCAUCUCAAAGAAAAAGUAGAAAAUGAUUACAAAUGAUUUCUGAAUAAAACAUAUUUAUAAAACGCUUAAAAUAACUGUUUUAAGAAUGCUAGCUUAAUAGGAACGUUACAAAUAAUGGCAAUUUCAAGAACAGCUGAUUUAUAUAUACUUAAAACACAAUAUUCGGUGCUUCCACUGCGAAGAAUGCUUUCGGAAAUAUAUCGCGAGAAAUACCGAUUUUCUUUAGAGCAAUAAAUGGCGAUUAGCCGAUUCUCAAAACCUUAACUCGUGGAAAUAACACAUUUAAGAUGUGAAACGUCAAGAAUAACGAUAUCAAGCUAUGAAAUACAUAACGACGCCGACGAUGAAGAAACGCAGUGAAUGCAGCUGUAUUUUUGGGGGGUUUGUUGCAAUGUAUUUUUAUAUUAUCAUCAAACGUUGCCCGUAACAAUUUUAGUGGUCGAUUGUAACAUAUUUUAUUUAAUGUCCCGCAAAUCACAGAAUUUAUGUAACCAUUGCGUAAAUGUAGUAAAAUCCCAUUUUUUUUAUCGUUUCCAUGAUUAUUAAUUAUACAAUCAAAAAUGUAAAAAUAAUUUUAUGAAAUGAUUCUCCCAAAAAUAUUUAAAGACAUUUAAGCUAAAUUAAUUCGAACAUAAAUAAAUUUAUGAUUAACAAAAUUACAUUGCAAUUAAUUCCUCCUAUAAAAAUAAUACUUAAUGCUAUUGUUGUAAGCUUGUAAAAGUUGAAAUCAGUAUUCUAUGUGGUGCUGUCACAGAAAUAUAAUUAUUAUGAUAUCUGGAGAUCAAAUUAGUAUAAUAAUAUGUACUUAAUACCGUUAAUGGUCAAUGGGAGCUACCAUUUUAUGCUCAUCAGGUAACGGCAAUGUAACAUAUUUUUUGAGGGUACAAAAUCAUCUGAAUGAGUCUAUAGUUCACCGCGUGUCGGCUUCCACUGCUUGAAGCAAUCCGUGUAUGGCGUAAGCGUAGAUCAGCCAUGCUUCGGCACGAAUGGGCCGGCUCGACCGGAGUGAUACCACGGCCUCACAGAAAACCGACGUGAAACAACGCUUGCGUUACGUUUCGUUGUGUGAGUGAGGUUACCGGAGGCCCAAUUACCCUUAAAUUCCUAACCCCCAAAAGGCCGGCAACGCACUUGUAACGCCUCUGUUGUUUCGAAUGUCCACGGGCGGCGGCGAUUGUUUACCAUCAGGUGAUCCGUCUGCUCGUUUACCGGCUUAUAACAUAAAAAAGAUCUGAUUAAAUCUCAAUAACAUUAUCUUAAAUCUCAAUAAUAUUAUAAAAAGUAAAACAGAUCUCCAGAUAUUUAAAAUGUACGUAGGUUAAAUACAUGAAGCAAAUCUUUGUACUUGCUUCAUGGUUAAAUCAUUUCUAACCCCCCAUGUAGCCAAAAGCCUAUUAAUGUUGCCAUCUUUGUAAUAUUAUAAUAAAUGUAUCGAUAAACGUACUAUGAUUAUUAUUAGGUUAAGAAUCUACCCACUGCCAUUGUUAUUAAUUUUUAAUAAUAUUGUAAUAACAAUGUGAUUGGCAUCUUAGUAAAAAAGAUAUGUUGUUAACUUAAUAAAAUUAAUAUUUCUGAUCUGUAACUGAAUUCAUUAUUCUGUAUAUUAUCGUGUAACAUAUUAAAACAAUUGAAAUAUACGAUAUACUGCCGCAGUCAGAGACAUUUAAUUAUAACUUAAACUAUUCCUUAGUAAGGAUUUUGUUCCGCUACAAUUGCUAAGGACUGGGUUUAUGUAACCAUUAAAUCAGUGAGUACGUCGGUUAUUGACGUGACUCGAUUCGAGCUUUCUCGACUGGUUUCAAGCCGUAACCAGGGUUUAUAAUCCUAAAGAUUGCCUAAGAAUUAAACGUUUGAUUAAUUAUAAUUACUCCAUAUAAAUUCAUUCUGUAGAAGAUAAACAAUAUAAAAUACAUCAAAAUAAUUUAAAUAAAAAGAAGCAAGGUGCCAAUCACAUAUUUAUAUUUGAUUAUGUUUAUUAUAAGUAAAAAAUAUCGUUAUUUGAAUGGAGAAGGUGCAAAAAUAUUAGUUUAUUUAGUCUCUAUGAAGUGUAGCUCCAAAUCAGUAUUUUUUAAUCUCAUAUUUAAGGCAACUUUAUUCUUUUUUAUUCUGAGUAAAUUCAAGCAUUUAUAAAUUCUCAUAUUUUUGCUUUGUCAAGGGAUUUUGGUCUUUAUAUUAACAGCAUAAAGGUGGUAAUGAAUGCAGUAACACAUUUGCAAAAAAUAAUGUCCUUUUGAUUUUAUAAAUGCUUGUAUUACUAGUAGAAAAAUAAUUUUCUUUUUAAUGUAAUCUGUCUUUUGGUAUUGUUAUAUUUCAAGUUUAUUUGAAUUGAUUAAUGUCCGAUUUUACCAUCUUUUUGCUAAAAGUUACUUAGCUAGACAUAGAUCCUGGACUAACCUCUGAUUUGUACUUUUAACCGCCGUACUCAGAGUCAUUUAAUGGUUACUUAACCCAAUCUUUAGCAAUUGUUUUCGAUACAAAAUCUUCACUAAGGAAUAGUUUAAGUAAUCAUUAAUUGUCUCUGAGUGCGGCAGAAAAUUUAUGAGAGAUUGGUGUAAUCGGACAUUGUUUUCUUUUAUUUACUUUUUAUUUUAUUAUGUCAGCCAUCAGCCAAUUUUAUUAUCUACAUUUUUAGUUCUUUUGAUAGACUGAUUAAUUUAGAUCUGAUUUUUUUUUGUUUUUUAUUUAAAUGAAUUGGUUUUUUUAAACGAUUUUGUAGCGAAUUCUAACAAUAUUUUAAGUAGACCAAUCUUGUUUUUUAUUUUCUUUAGUAAAUUAUUAAAAUCGUGGCCCUUUUUUGUUUAAUUUUGCAUGUAAUGUAACGAAAUGUACCUUUUGAAUUGUCUGAUUUUUAUUUGGUUUAAGAAUUAUAUUAGUUUGUAUGUAUGAAAUAUUUUUAGAAAUACAAAUGUGAAUGGUCUAUGUCCGUGUUUUUGAUGCGCUUUGAAAAUGUGUAAGAAACCAAACUUUAUUACUGAAAAUGUAGUCCAUUUUAUAUACUUAAAUACUUACUGUUCUUACCUACAAAUGAAUUCUUUUACCUUGUGACCGCCACGGUCGGCUAUAGACGACAAACAAUAUUUGGGCUAAACCGCUACGGUCAAGAAAAUAUCAUUUUAAAUACAUUUUGUUAGUCGCCUGUAGCCGACCAUGACGUGGCAAUGGGCAAAUAAAAAUAAACUUAUCAAAUUAAAAGUUGAAAUAUUUGCAUGGAAAAACCACAUUAAUUCUGAUCAUACUAUAAUCUCAAAUUUAUCUGAUAGUUUUUGAAAACUAAUUGCCAUACUCAGAGUCAUUUAAUAGUGACUUAACCUAGUACUUAGCGUGUAUGGAACAAAAUCGUUGCUAAACAAUACUUAAAGUGAUUAUUAAAUGUCUCUGAGUACGGCAGUAAAGGUCUGUUUCACAGUGCUGCUAUGUAUCAGUACUCAUGUGUUUGCUUUACGUUUAAAGUAAUCUGCGUUCUGAUUGAUUGGUUAAUUCAAGCCGGCCAUUUGAGAGCGCUCUCGUUUUGAUUACUUUAAACAUAAAGCAAACUUAAAAUAAGUACUGUAUAAUUUAAACUAGUACUAUAAGUGUUCCUAUUUUUUAUCGCUAUAAUGUAGCAUAAUUGUUAUCACCAAAUUGCACAGACAACAGCAAGUCAAGCUACACCAAUUUGUAUCAUUUUUCGCAGAUGAAUGUUUAAUUAUUAAUUACUUUUUCUAACCCAAUCUGAUAUUUUGAUAUUAUUUUGUAACCUCUCUAUUUUAUUUAUGAUUAAUUACAUGUUAUUUAUGUUACAUUAAAUCUGUUCUGUACUUAUUAAUGCUGCAUUAUGGUGAUAAAAAUUAAAAUGCAUAUAAUUAAAUAUACAAUUUAUGAAAUAUUUUAAAAUGUAUAACGGCUAUAUGUUGCAACGAAAUAUUUGUUUUGAAGAGAGACAAAAUUAUUCAAUUUCUCCAAUUUAUUAAUCGAAAAAUAUAAAUAGAGUAUUUGGAGUUAAAAAUAUGAACUCAUAUAAAAUAAAUGGAGCCUGUUAUUAAUAAAUAAAUUUUAUGAAUCAUAAAUUUAAAUGUAAAUUCAAUUAAUUAAUUUCAGUUAAUUCCACCGAUCGAUGUAUUCAAUGUUCGUAGACUUAAGUAAAGGUGAUAUCAGGUUUAGCUUACAGUAAUCAUUUUGUAAUUAAUCUGUAGAAAUAUAUUGUUAAAGGGCAACAUGGAUUUUUUAAAAUAUUUAGUUACUAAACCUAAAUUUAUUCAGCAGCCGCCCGUGACAGUCCACUAUGACCCUCCUCCUUAGUGUCGGAUUGGCCAUGUAGCAAGAGGCGCCGCGCCUGUGCCUAAAUUAACAAGUUGUGACAUUGAAUAAUUAAUAAAAUUUUAUUGAAUUCAAAUUGCAUUGGCAUUGUGAUUGGUUUCAAAAGUAAGCGCGCAGGUUUACCAGCGAGCGUUACAGCCCAGUCUCUGUCAAAUGUAGUCUUUUAGUCGGUUCUUACGAACGCUUACCGAAAGAGCAGGGAUGGUGACAAUAUAGUUUUAUAUAUACUUUAUUAUUUUCUUUACUACGUAAUGUUAGUUUUAAGCUAAAUUUCGAUAUCACCAUAAUUGUUGUUGAAUGGUAACUGUACAAACAUUUUGUAUCCUGUUGAUCUUUGCUAGUUGCUGUACUUUGUAUUGUAUCGAUAAUUGUAUUGUAUUGUAUUAUCCUAUGUACUUAUCUGUAUAUCGUGAGAGAUAUUUGAAUUAAAUGCGUAUUUCCAA